CUUCCCUCCUACUCCGUGGUCACGUCUUGCUGCCCUCCCCUGCCGUGUUCUCACGCACUCGCUCUGUCCCUCCAGAACCACAAUAUUCCACCCCUGGUCCCGCCAGGAUUAUAACCGUCUUCGUAAAGGAGAGAUGGAAGGGCAAGGAGGAUGUCAAUCGGGCUUUUAGCGUUUAUCGUUUGCGGGGCUUUUGCUGGAGUU
rnacentral:lncRNA from 1 species